AUGUUGCCCGGGCUGGUCUCGAACUCCCUGGGCUCAAACGAUCUACCCACCUCAGCCUCCCCAAGUGUUGGGAUUACAGGGCUGCCGGGGUGUGCUGCUGGGGAGCGCGGCGUGGGCAGGACCACGCUGGACACGCAGUUCUCGUGCGGCCGCUCCCCGAGCAAUGCGCAGCGUGGGCUGAGGAGCGGCUCAGCGAGAUCGAGGCGAACGCGGCGCCCACGCUGCUGGAAAUCGUGGACGUGGCGGGCGCCGAGCACCUGGUCACGCUGCAGGACCUGGACAUCGGCCACAGCGACGGCUUCGCGGUGCUCCCGGCGUGUGCAGCGAGUUCUCGUUCCGGGCCGUGAGGCCGCUGCGCUAGCGCCUGCGCCUGCCGUGGGGACCCGGGGCCGUCCCGCUGGUGCUGGUGGGCACCCAGGCCGACCGGGACGACGAGCGCCAGGGGCAGCGAGGGGCGUUGCCCGUUCCCGGAGGUCACGGGAGCCAGCGGAGGGUGGACCAGGCGUUCACGCAGGCGGUGCGCGAGACGGAGGCCCGGCCGGGCCCGAGGAGGAGUUGCAGUGUUGGGAAGUUUUCUGUUGUCCUCUGGACUCCUUCCAGAAAAAGAUGGCCCUGGUGGCAGCCGCGAAGCGCGGGGAGGGAGUCGCGGACUGGGGCCGCGCUGGGAACCGAGCCUGCCAGGACGCUUCUAGCCCGCGCGCGGCCUCGAGUCCCACCGGUGCCCAGGCCUUGUUCCCCAAGACCCACGGGUGUAGAGCAGGCGCGCAGCCCCAGCGCCCCGAGCUCCCAAAGCUGUUCUUUACCAAAGUCUGCCCUUCGCAGCUUUCCAAGUUACUAUAACAGGUAAAAGGCAAGGGCUAACUUCUUAAGUAUUUAAUGGAGUUCUUUAGGCAGAUUCUGCACUCGGAAUUACUAAACGUUGAGAGCCCAGGAUGAACUAACUAUUCGGUUCAUCUUUUUUGUUGUUGUUUUUUGUUUUUUUGUGUUUUUUUUUGAGACUGUCGCCAGGCUGGAGUUCAGUGGCGAUCUCAGUGAUCUCGGCUCACCGCAACCUCCGCCUCCCGGGUUCAAGCGAUUCUCCUGCCUCAGCCUCCCGAGUAGCUGGGACUACAGGCACGCACCACCACGCGCGGCUAAUUUUUAUAUUUUUAGUAGAGACGAGGUUUCACCAUGUUGGCCAGGAAGGUCUUGAUUUCUUGACCUCGUGAUCCGCCUGCCUCGGCCUCCUGAAGUGCUGGGAUUACAGGCGUGAACCACGGUGGCUGGCCUAUUUGGCGCAUCUUAAAGCAGCAAUAUACAGGAUAGUAAAUGGAAACAGGAGCGACUACUUCUGUACUUUAACAACAGUGAUUCAUUCUGUUUGCAGAGUUUUUCUUCUUUAAAAGAUGCCUUACUGCUUUAAGCCUGAAUGGGCAGAAUGUGCUUUCUUCAAAUGCAAUUUAUAUUUUUUUGAACUAUCUGGUUCUGAUAAUUAUAGUUUAGACUUGGAGCAUUUAGCUGAAGUUUAGAUCUUAGUUCCAUGAAGUUUCCAUCUCAUUUUCAGCACUGAAUUAAGCAAUCACUUUUUCCUUUCUAUAUAGUUCUAAAUAUAGUUACGACCUACUUAGCACAACCUUGCAAUUGGAUACGUGUCACUGGCAAAUUAAUUUUGUACCUAAAGAGAGUCCAGCGCUUUAGGUACAAAAGCUGUCAGUUUUGUGAUUAACAUCUGGUUGACUAUGCACAUGAAAAUGGAGCACAAAUACAUUUUUAAACUUUGUAAUUCUUACCAUUUGACUUUGUGAAUCAUAUUUAAAGCGCUAUGUUCUAAGAUUUCUGGAUGCUGUCAGAUGGCUUUACCAUUAUUUUCGGGAGUUUGUUUGUUGUAGAGAAAACUGCAGGAGGUGAGAGGAGAGAAAGACCCAGUUAUGCAGCAGGCAUUGCACCUGUGCUGUUAGCGGCAGCUGCCUUCAUACUUUGCCUGAAUUCCUGGAAUUUUUAAAUAGUGAAAUGGGUAUGGAACCCUAUGAAGAAUAGGUCAUCUUUUUGUUGAUUUUUAGCACAGCAAGCUUUAUCUAAUUUUUUUUUUUUUUUUUGAGACUUGCUCUGUUGCCUAGACUGGAGCACACUGGCCCAAUCUUGGCUCACUGCAACCUCCAUGUCCUGGAUUCAAGCAAUUCUCCUGCCUCCGUCUCCUGAGUAGCUGGGAUUACAGGCACCUGCCACCACGCCUGGCUGAUUUUUGUAUUUUUAGUAGAGACGGAGUUUUCCCAUAUUGGCCAGGCUGAUCUCGAACUCCUGACCUCAGGGGAUCCACCUGCCUCGGCCCCCCAAAGUGUUGGGAUUACAGGUGUGUGCCACCACACCCAGCCCUAAUUGGUUUUUGUUUGUUUGUUUGUUUUUGAGAUGGAGUCUCACUCUGUCGCCCAGGCUGGGGUGCAGUGGCCAGAUCUCAGCUCACUGCAAGCUCCGCCUCCCGGGUUUACGCCAUUCUCCUGCCUCAGCCUCCCGAGUAGCUGGGACUACAGGCGCCCACCACCUCGCCCGGCUAGUUUUUUGUAUUUUUUAGUAGAGACGGGGUUUCACCGUGUUAGCCAGGAUGGUCUCGAUCUCCUGACCUCGUGAUCCGAGCCUCCCAAAGUGCUGGGAUUACAGGCUUGAGCCACCGCUCCCGGCAAUAAUUGUUUUUAAACGUCCU
rnacentral:lncRNA from 1 species